rnacentral:rRNA from 1 species
AUUGAACGCUGGCGGCAGGCUUAACACAUGCAAGUCGAGCGGAGAUGAAGUGCUUGCACCUUAUCUUAGCGGCGGACGGGUGAGUAAUGCUUAGGAAUCUGCCUAUUAGUGGGGGACAACAUUCCGAAAGGAAUGCUAAUACCGCAUACGUCCUACGGGAGAAAGCAGGGGAUCGUCGGACCUUGCGCGAAUAGAUGAGCCGAAGAAGGAUAAGCUAGUUGGUGGGGUAAAGGCCUAGCAAGGCGACGAUCUGUAGCGGGUGUGAGAGGAUGAUCCGCCAAAAUGGGACUGAGACACGGCCCAGACUCCUACGGGAGGCAGCAGUGGGGAAUAUUGGACAAUGGGGGGAACCCUGAUCCAGCCAUGCCGCGUGUGUGAAGAAGGCCUUAUGGUUGUAAAGCACUUUAAGCGAGGAGGAGGCUACUGAGACUAAUACUCUUGGAUAGUGGACGUUACUCGCAGAAUAAGCACCGGCUAACUCUGUGCCAGCCGCCGCCGUAA